UUUGGAAGGAAGCCUGUCAAGGUUGACUCCAUACCAACCCUGGACCAGGAAUGGACUGGAUCCUUUAGAGGUCGAGAAGGAGUCUUGGUUCAAAUUGCAUCAUGAUGUUACGUUGCAGGGCCUGAGGCCAAUGCAAUAAAAGGCUCAAAAAAAUAAUGUACAGCACGAUCUGAAAACUUCGUUUUU